rnacentral:tmRNA from 1 species
GGGGAUGUAAAGGAUUUUGACAGGGCGGGUGCAUCUGUCGGAUUGCAUGCCGGAGGGUAGUUCUCCGUUAUCAACAAGACAAAAAAAUAAACGCUAACAACGUUGUAGACGCUAGAAAUGCUUUUGCAGUUUCUGCAAGAAAAGCAGCCUAACAAAUUAGGUGUAGCCACUUUGUAAUUUGAACUUGCAAGGUUACAAGGUCAAUUUCGCAAGUACAGUGCGCAUUUUUAAGGCGGUGCGCAUCAAGUUUUAGCCUUUGAAGUUGCUUAUCUUUAAAAUAAGCUAUGGUUAAAUGAUAAGGUUUUGAUUUUUCCCUUGUUUAGCCUAAAUAAUUAAAAUCUAAGCAUUGUAGAUAUUCGCCCGAUGCCGUUUUGGACGUGGGUUCGACUCCCACCAUCUCCA